CAAUUAACAGGUACAUCGAUGGGAGCGCCUAUGGCUCUGAUGUAUGCCAAUGCAAAUGAAACAUAUUUUGGCCCAACACCAUGAGAAGAUUCUUAAAUACUUACGUUUUAUCGACGAUAUCCUAAUAUUAUGGAGAGGUGAUGAGGAAUCAUUUACGUCUAUGAUGUAUACAUUAAAUAUGAUGAACUCUCCAGUGAAAUUCACAUUCCAAUGUAGCAAGUUUCAAAUCAAUUUUUUGGAUGUUCGAAUCUUUGUUAAAUAUAACAAACUCGGAUAUACACUGUAUUCUAAGGAGAUUGGUAGAAAUACUAUUUUGCAUGCGUCCAGUUUCCACCCGAAGAGAUUGAAGGAAUCAUUACCCAUUUCCCAAUUUUUUUAGGGUAAUACGUAAUAAUUCAGACCCUACACUAGCAACAGACCAAUUAAAUCUAAUGUAUGAGAAAUUCUUAGAAAGGAGUUAUUCAAAAAUGGUGUUAAUUCGUGCACUGAAGCAGGCAAAAAAAUCAACUACAGAGCAACUGAUACCAUCAAGAGUCGACAAUCGUUUGAUCUUUCCUCAAUCUUUUCCUACUAAAUCAUCUCAAGUAGAUUCUGCGGUGCGUGAGAAUUGGAGAAUAUUAAGCAAAGAUACAACAUUACCAAUUUCAUUUUCACAAAGCCCAAUUAUGAGUUAUAGAAGAGGCAAAAAUUUAAGGAACUAUUUAGUUCAUGCGGAUCAGUUUACUAAAAUCGUAC